GAUCCCUUUCGUGAAUAAAGGCGAGGCUCCCACAGCCAAGCAGCAAGCAAAUGCCUGCCUUCCCAUCUGCUCACAUGCUGUGCUGACUGCCAAGGGUGUUUACUUCCAGAAUAUCUGAAGAUGCUGUGAACAAACAGAAGGCAGUUUCGGAGGAACUGCUCGGAGCAUAGUACAUCACGUGGAAAAACAACCCAAACCCCGAGAAACGCAUCUGUGGGAGAACCCUGCUCUGUUCCCAGUGUCACUUCGCGCACACUUGGCAGCCAGGAUCCAUCCGAUUGUUGUGGUUCAUCCGAGGCUUCCUGUUCUCUCUGAGACGAUGCUGGUGUUUGUGAAAUCGCUCCUCUCCUUGGUCUGAGAAUAGAGUAAGGCCAGCACUCGACAGAGCCAUUUCCCUAACCCAAGAAGGAAGACUCAAUUCUGAGCCAAAGUUGGGAAUGAAGCCAGUGGACAUUCCAGCCGCUACAAGCACAGCAUCUUACAAAUCCUUGUGUUCUGUGUGCCUUGCGAAGGGAGCCGCUGACUUGACAGAGACCUAUAAUGCCUGUCGGCAGCAGCCAUAUCCUUCACUGUAACAGCACCGGUCAGAAUAAAUCUCAUCUCCAUUCGUAAGACAAUCUUCAACAGAAGAGAACUGCCUGCUUGAUUAGGACGAUCCAUCAGGCAUCUGGAACAGGAAAAUCCUUUUCUUUUGAGCUCCAGAACCUGGACAGUCAUAAUGAGUCUGAUUUAAUGAGCCCCUAUUCUACAAUAUUAAUUACAAGCCCAUUGAGGUAAACACACAGAAAACUAGAGCUAGUCACACUCUUUCCCCAAGACACAACAGCCCAGAAGUCACACACGGGGGUCUCUGGCUAGUGGGUGGAUUGGGUGCUCAUAGAAUAGGUCCUGCUUCUGCACCCCAAGGUUACCUCUUGGCACAAAGUGGGCCUGCUUCUGUGCUCUAAGUUUAGCUCUUAGACCAGCCCCCUUCACAUGUGUCUGACAGACCUUAUCUGUCCCAACUAGCUGCCACCCCAGGAAAGGAAGAACAAGGAACGAAGAAACCUCAGAUGAAGCAGAGAGGCAUAGCCCCACUCCUGCUUUGGGUCUCCCUUUAUGAAAUGGAGCAUCUUUGUAUAGCAUAUACACUAGGAAUCGUUGCCAGCCCAGCUUAGUGCUUCAUCACUAAGAGCUGUCUGGUGCCAGUGUUUAUUGAUUGUUUACCAUUUGCCAAAUGUCUUAGGGAUGUGAGUUCAUUUGAUUAUCCCAGAACACCUUCUACCAGGGGUGUGUACCCUGUGGUCUACAGAUCGCACGUGGUCCAGGAUAUACUUCAUAUUGCACCAUCAAGCAAAAGAAACAUAUGUAUGCUCCUGUAAUCCCCACCCUUCAAAUUGAACACCUUUGGAUUUAA